ACUGUGGAGGAGAGAGAAUGUGUGCAGCCUCAGAGGGCUGGAGCCACCUGCCAGUUAGGUGUGAUGGUCUUCAGCUGUCCUUGUAUGGCACACGGUGAUGGCAGCAGCCUCCGACUGGGGUCGGAGCCAGUGGCCUGAGAACCUCUCAGCUCAGGGGAGGCGACCGAGUCAGGGAUCACAGGACCCUCUGAGCCAGCCGGGCGUCCUUCCUUGGCAUCGAAGAUGGAUUCACAUCCCCAGCUGUGGGAAAGAUAAGUGGAGGACUCCCACCUGGAGAGGGGAUGGGAGCUGGGUCCAGUUUUAUGGUUAGGAGGGAGGGAUUGUCAAAUGAGCAGAGGGGAAAGGGUCUGCCCUAACAGGCCCUUGGCACACAUAGGAGGAGCAGUUUACUUUUCAUCAUGGAGUAGGAUGUGCAGGGCAGAGCAGUUCAGGUCUGUGUCGUGUCCUUUGUCCGGUCUGUGUUUCGUGUCUUACAAUUCACAGUCAGGGUGUCUUUGCUUCCUACACUCCAAGGUCUUAUCUGAGAUGCCAAGGCAUCAUUCCUAGAGUGUUGAACCUCUGCACUGCCCAGCCCAGUGCCCAUACCAUCCGUUCUUUGGCUCACUAGCUUGGACGUGCAUCGGAAUCGCAUCUGAGAAGUGUCAGGUCAGGUGUCUUUUACAGCCUCCUCACAGGUUGUAUCGGUGGCUGUGCCGUGCAGUCAUCCCUUGUCAUCCCACCUGGGACUUGUGAGAAUCUAAGAAGAUUCUGAGCAUAGCCUUGUCUCCCAUCCAUCUCAGCAAUUUUGUAGGCAGUUCUUGUCCCAGGCCAUUCUGUUCGAGUGUCUUUUCAGGCUCCUCAGAGCCUCCUCCGUUCAGUCUCGCCGUAUCCUCCGUCUUCUCGUGCGGCAGCACAUCCGUUUUGGCGUCGUUCUUUUCUCAGAGUUCUCUCUCCUGGUUGCACCACAGCCCUUGUCUGGAAAUGUGUCCUUGGAGUUUGUGUUGGGCCUGGAACUGCUCUGCCCUGCAGUGUAGACUUGGGGGUAGGUGGAGUAGAAAGGAGACCUCCCAGUUCCCCUGUGGAUAGGCUCAGGCACUGAGGGCAGGGCCUUAAAGUGAGGUCAGUGUUUGUUUGUGCAGGUUGUCUUUGGACCGCAGAGGGCUUGUCUAAGGAGAAAUUAGAAUUGCACAGCAGUUAAGGUCCCCCUGUCUAUGUGGCUGACUUUGCUAACUCAUUUCUUUGCAGCAUCAGAUGGACUGGAUGUAAAGCAGAGAUGAACAGAGGAGGCUGGAGGAGCACAGUCAG